GAGGGGUGGUUAGGGGCGCAGGAGGAGGGGUGGUUGGGAUCGGUAAGGGAGCGGAGGGGACGGGGGCAAGUAGGAGAGGUCGGCGGCGGCGGAGGGGACAGAGAGGAGGAGAGAGGAGCAGUGGUAGUAGCCCUACGUUGUCGCGUAGACCGGCUUCCUCUCACACCGCCGACACAGAGGAUCGUUACCGUCACCCCUGCCCAACUACUCCUCCGCUGUUGAGCUCUCCAUCCGUUCUCCUUGUGUUGGGGGUCAACUCCUCCUCGGCGAGCCGUGUCUACAUCGAUCCCAAACCCACCCCCAACCAAGGAUGUGGCUACUGCCGUAAACGGUCGUCGUCGUGUAGGGAGCUGAAGGCAUUGGAGUCAACGUCGAACAGGGACGUGGGAAGAGACCAGGAUCUAUUUUGACAGUAGAACGAAGUCUAAGUUCACCAAGAAGGUUCAACUUAUUACUCACACGUACGGCGUCAUCGUUCCUGUCUGUUGUAGUUACGACCAGUCGUUGAUUUAGCCGUUCGUAACUAUAAAAAUAAUCCUUCCAUUGUGUAGAAGGAUAUGAUAUACAAACACACUAAGACAACGAAGAUUUGGGUUAGAUACAACGAAGUAGAGUACCUACUCCCCAGCCGAUGUCCUCGCGAUCCUGGGAUCCUCACCUUGUGGUGAAGGAGGUUAUAACGGCUCCACGAGGAGAGGAUACAAAAUUUCCGCAGGGAUUCCGCUGCGGAUCCGCUGCGGAUCCGCAGCUUCGCGAGGGGGAGGCGAAACCCGCGGAUCCGCAGGUUUCGCGGGCGGAUCCGCAGCGGAUCCGCGGUUUCGCGGGGGGGAGGGAUUCCGCCGGAGACGAAAAAAGCAGCAGCAGGUAGCCAGGUUGGACAACAACAAGCGAGGCAGCCGAACAUCAACGAAUACCUCGCACGACGCCUAAGCAACACGGAGGAAGUUUAUAUUCAAGAGAAACGAAGGUGACGGAAACGUAUACGUAAAGACUAUAAAAUUAAAUAUCUCAGGUCUCCUCUUCACACUUUAUCUAUUCUCAAACACGACUCUUCAAGGACUGAUUAAGUACGACAUAACCGGUACCGAUGUACAAACAAUCAGUAAACCGACCCAGUUCGAAUACAUCGCUUAUAAAGGAAUUACUUACUAUACCACUAUCCUUUAUCAUUCACAUCAAAGCCGGAUACAUGGACGUGUAAAGAGUUCCUAGUUAGCAUCAACAAGAACUUGUUUCGUAAUUACCUUAAAGUAAAAGUCAAAGUUCAUAAUUUCCUUUCCCACCUACAUUUCUUUAUCCUAACACGAAGACACCGUACGUUACAUUUCUUUAUCCACUAUUACAACUUAACGAAGGAAAGUAUGAACCUAGAGUGAUCUAAUAAAUACAAGGUAACCUAAUUCGUACUCUAAUAGACAACUAUUAAUUCAAAACAGGUGUUUGAUAAGUUAGACUUUUGGCCAAGUCCAAUCCGUAUAAGUCCCAACUGUCUAAGUCCAAUCCGUAUAAGUUCGUGUACUACUUUUGUCUAAUUCGUUAGACUUACAAUUGUUACCGAUUAGAACGAAGUGGUACACCACUGAACCCCUCCUUAUCAUACCUUACUUACUUCGUGGACCUAUAGUAACAACU
rnacentral:rRNA from 1 species